rnacentral:rRNA from 1 species
AUUCCAGCUCCAAUAGCGUAUAUUAAAGUUGUUGCAGUUAAAAAGCUCGUAGUCGAAUUUUGGGCUUGGACAACCGGUCUGCCGCAAGGCAUGUACUGGUUGGCCAGGUCUUCCUUCUGGGGACCAGCGUGUGCUUUAUUGUAUGCGUUGGAUAACCAGGACUUUUACUUUGAAAAAAUUAGAGUGUUUAAGGCAGGCUUACGCUUGAAUACAUUAGCAUGGAAUAAUGGAAUAGGACUUUGGUUCUAUUUUGUUGGUUUCUAGGACCAAAGUAUGAUUAAUAGGGACAGUUGGGGGCAUUAGUAUUGAGCUGUCAGAGGUGAAAUUCUUGGAUUUGCUCAAGACUAACAACUGCGAAAGCAUCUGCCAAGGAUGUUUUCAUUG